AGUGAACGCUGGCGGUAGGCCUAACACAUGCAAGUCGAACGGCAGCACAGUAAGAGCUUGCUCUUACGGGUGGCGAGUGGCGGACGGGUGAGGAAUACAUCGGAAUCUACUUUUUCGUGGGGGAUAACGUAGGGAAACUUACGCUAAUACCGCAUACGACCUACGGGUGAAAGCAGGGGAUCUUCGGACCUUGCGCGAUUGAAUGAGCCGAUGUCGGAUUAGCUAGUUGGCGGGGUAAAGGCCCACCAAGGCGACGAUCCGUAGCUGGUCUGAGAGGAUGAUCAGCCACCUGGGAACUGAGACACGGUCCAGACUCCUACGGGAGGCAGCAGUGGGGAAUAUUGGACAAUGGGCGCAAGCCUGAUCCAGCCAUACCGCGUGGGUGAAGAAGGCCUUCGGGUUGUAAAGCCCUUUUGUUGGGAAAGAAAAGCAGCAGGUUAAUACCCCGCUGUUCUGACGGUACCCAAAGAAUAAGCACCGGCUAACUUCGUG
rnacentral:rRNA from 1 species